rnacentral:misc_RNA from 1 species
GAUGAAGAACGCAGCGAAAUGCGAUAAGUAGUGUGAAUUGCAGAAUUCAGCGAAUCAUCGAAUCUUUGAACGCACAUUGCGCCCCUUGGUAUUCCAUGUGGCAUGCCUGUUCGAGCGUCAUUUGUACCUUCAAGCUUUGCUUGGUGUUGGGUGUUUGUCUCGCCUUUGCGUGUAGACUCGCCUUAAAAUAAUUGGCAGCCGGCGUAUUGAUUUCGGAGCGCAGUACAUCUCGCGCUUUGCACUCAUAACGACAGCGUCCAAAAGUACAUUUUACACUCUUGACCUCGGAUCAGGUAGGGAUACCCGCUGAACUUAAGCAUAUCAAUAAGCGGAGGA